rnacentral:rRNA from 1 species
AUUGAACGCUGGCGGAAUGCUUUACACAUGCAAGUCGAACGGCAGCACGGGAGCAAUCCUGGUGGCGAGUGGCGAACGGGUGAGUAAUAUAUCGGAACGUGCCCAAUCGUGGGGAUAACGUAGCGAAAGCUACGCUAAUACCGCAUACGAUCUAUGGAUGAAAGCGGGGGAUCGCAAGACCUCGCGCGAUUGGAGCGGCCGAUAUCAGAUUAGGUAGUUGGUGAGGUAAAGGCUCACCAAGCCGACGAUCUGUAGCUGGUCUGAGAGGACGACCAGCCACACUGGGACUGAGACACGGCCCAGACUCCUACGGGAGGCAGCAGUGGGGAAUUUUUGGACAAUGGGCGCAAGCCUGAUCCAGCAAUGCCGCGUGCAGGAUGAAGGCCUCGG